AGAGUUUGAUCAUGGCUCAGGAUGAACGCUAGCGGCAGGCUUAACACAUGCAAGUCGAACGGUAACAUGAGUGCUUGCACUUGAUGACGAGUGGCGCACGGGUGCGUAACGCGUAUGCAACCUACCUUUAACUGGAGAAUAGCCUUUAGAAAUGAAGAAUAAUACUCCAUAAUAUUAUCUUACGGCAUCGUAAGAUUCUUAAAGCUUCGGCGGUUAAAGAUGGGGCAUGCGUUCUAUUAGUUAGUUGGUGAGGUAAUGGCUCACCAAGACUCCGAUAGAUAGGGGGCCUGAGAGGGUUAUCCCCCACACUGGUACUGAGACACGGACCAGACUCCUACGGGAGGCAGCAGUGAGGAAUAUUGCACAAUGGACGAAAGUCUGAUGCAGCCAUGCCGCGUGCAGGAUGAAUGCCCUACGGGUUGUAAACUGCUUUUAUAUAGGAAGAAACCUCUCUACGUGUAGAGGGCUGACGGUACUAUAAGAAUAAGGACCGGCUAACUCCGUGCCAGCAGCCGCGGUAAUACGGAGGGUCCAAGCGUUAUCCGGAUUUAUUGGGUUUAAAAGGGUCCGUAGGCGGGAAAAUAAGUCAGUGGUGAAAGCCUACAGCUCAACUGUAGAACUGCCAUUGAUACUGUUUUUCUUGAGUAUAGAUGAAGUGGGCGGAAUGUAUCAUGUAGCGGUGAAAUGCAUAGAUAUGAUACAGAACACCGAUUGCGAAGGCAGCUCACUAAACUAUUACUGACGCUCAGGGACGAAAGCGUGGGGAGCGAACAGGAUUAGAUACCCUGGUAGUCCACGCCGUAAACGAUGAUUACUCGGUGCUAGCAAUAUACCGUUAGUGCCUAAGCGAAAGCGAUAAGUAAUCCACCUGGGGAGUACGGUCGCAAGAUUGAAACUCAAAGGAAUUGACGGGGGCCCGCACAAGCGGUGGAGCAUGUGGUUUAAUUCGAUGAUACGCGAGGAACCUUACCUGGGCUUAAAUGUAAAUUGACAGAUUGGGAAACCAGUCCCCUUCUUCGGACGAUUUACAAGGUGCUGCAUGGUUGUCGUCAGCUCGUGCCGUGAGGUGUCGGGUUAAGUCCCAUAACGAGCGCAACCCCUAUUCUUAGUUGCCAUCAGAUAAUGCUGGGGACUCUAAGGAAACUGCCUACGCAAGUAGUGAGGAAGGUGGGGAUGACGUCAAAUCAGCACGGCCCUUAUGUCCAGGGCUACACACGUGCUACAAUGGUCGGUACAGAGGGUCGCUACCUAGUGAUAGGAUGCUAAUCUCAAAAACCGAUCUCAGUUCGGAUCGAAGUCUGCAACUCGACUUCGUGAAGCUGGAUUCGCUAGUAAUCGCAUAUCAGCCAUGAUGCGGUGAAUACGUUCCCGGGCAUUGUACACACCGCCCGUCAAGCCAUGGAAGCUGGGAGUACCUAAAGUCCGUAACCGCAAGGAGCGGCCUAGGGUAAAACCAAUGACUGGGGCUAAGUCGUAACAAGGUA
rnacentral:rRNA from 1 species